ACUCAACGUGAAUUCUUUAAAAAGGGUGAGUUGAAGUUGCAAAAGCGAGCCGUCAUUGAGCGGAUACUUGACCAACUUGUUAGCCCUAAACUUUUCUUUAAGGAGUUU
rnacentral:sRNA from 1 species